rnacentral:rRNA from 1 species
CAGUCGCCGCGGUAAUACGUAGGUGGCAAGCGUUGUCCGGAAUUAUUGGGCGUAAAGGGCUCGCAGGCGGUUUCUUAAGUCUGAUGUGAAAGCCCCCGGCUCAACCGGGGAGGGUCAUUGGAAACUGGGAAACUUGAGUGCAGAAGAGGAGAGUGGAAUUCCACGUGUAGCGGUGAAAUGCGUAGAGAUGUGGAGGAACACCAGUGGCGAAGGCGACUCUCUGGUCUGUAACUGACGCUGAGGAGCGAAAGCGUGGGGAGCGAGCAGGAUUAGAUACCCGCGUAGUCCCUGUCUCUUAUAC